UGAGGAAUAUUGGACAAUGGGUGGAAGCCUGAUCCAGCCAUCCCGCGUGAAGGAUGACGGUCCUAUGGAUUGUAAACUUCUUUUGUACAGGGAUAAACCUGCCCUCGUGAGGGCAGCUGAAGGUACUGUACGAAUAAGCACCGGCUAACUCCGUGCCAGCAGCCGCGGUAAUACGGAGGGUGCGAGCGUUAUCCGGAUUUAUUGGGUUUAAAGGGUCCGUAGGCGGGCCUGUAAGUCAGUGGUGAAAUCUCAUAGCUUAACUAUGAAACUGCCAUUGAUACUGCAGGCCUUGAGUAAAUUUGAAGUGGCUGGAAUAAGUAGUGUAGCGGUGAAAUGCAUAGAUAUUACUUAGAACACCGAUUGCGAAGGCAGGUCACUAAGAUUUAACUGACGCUGAUGGACGAAAGCGUGGGGAGCGAACA
rnacentral:rRNA from 1 species